CGGGAUGUGGCGAAGUUUGGUAUCGCGCUCGCUUUGGGAGCGAGAGAUUUCGCAGGUUCGAAUCCUGUCAUCCCGA
rnacentral:tRNA from 1 species